GACGAACGCUGGCGGCGUGCUUAACACAUGCAAGUCGAACGGUAGGGCCCUUCGGGGUACACGAGUGGCGAACGGGUGAGUAACACGUGGGUGAUCUACCCUGCACUUCGGGAUAAGCCUGGGAAACUGGGUCUAAUACCGGAUAGGACCACUGCCUGCAUGGGGGGUGGUGGAAAGCUUUUGCGGUGUGGGAUGGGCCCGCGGCCUAUCAGCUUGUUGGUGGGGUGAUGGCCUACCAAGGCGACGACGGGUAGCCGGCCUGAGAGGGUGACCGGCCACACUGGGACUGAGAUACGGCCCAGACUCCUACGGGAGGUAGCAGUGGGGAAUAUUGCACAAUGGGCGCAAGCCCGAUGCAGCGACGCCGCGUGAGGGAUGACGGCCUUCGGGUUGUAAACCUCUUUCAGCACCGACGAAGCGCAAGUGACGGUAGGUGCAGAAGAAGGACCGGCCAACUACGUGCCAGCCGCCGCCGUAA
rnacentral:rRNA from 1 species